rnacentral:rRNA from 1 species
GUGGACGCAUCACUGGUGUUCGGGUUGUCAUGCCAAUGGCACUGCCCGGUAGCUAAAUGCGGAAGAGAUAAGUGCUGAAAGCAUCUAAGCACGAAACUUGCCCCGAGAUGAGUUCUCCCUGAGACUUAAAGUCUCCUGAAGGAACGUUGAAGACGACGACGUUGAUAGGCCGGGUGUGUAAGCGCAGCGAUGCGUUGAGCUAACCGGUACUAAUGAACCGUGAGGCUUAACCUUACAACGCCGAAGCUGUU